CUACGGGUGGCUGCAGUGGGGAAUCUUGUGCAAUGGGCGAAAGCCUGACACAGCAACGCCGCGUGCGGGAAGAAGGCCUUCGGGUCGUAAACCGCUUUCAGCAGGAACGAAAAUGACGGUACCUGCAGAAGAAGGUGCGGCCAACUACGUGCCAGCAGCCGCGGUGACACGUAGGCACCAAGCGUUGUCCGGAUUUAUUGGGCGUAAAGAGCUCGUAGGCGGUUCAGCAAGUCGGGUGUGAAAACUAUGGGCUUAACCCAUAGCCUGCAUCCGAAACUGCUGUGACUAGAGUUCGGUAGGGGAGAGGGGAAUUCCUAGUGUAGCGGUGAAAUGCGCAGAUAUUAGGAGGAACACCGAUGGCGAAGGCACCUCUCUGGGCCGAUACUGACGCUGAGGAGCGAAAGCGUGGGUAGCAAACAGGAUUAGAUACCCUAGUAGUC
rnacentral:rRNA from 1 species